UGAUGUAUAUGGCUUUCACAAGUUGUCUUUUUUCACAUUUGGUUUAGGAUUGGCAUGAUCUCUGUUUAGAAUUGGAACACCUUUGAGGACGACAUGGAAGCAUCAGCUAGUACAAAAUGUAGUCCUUGUGCUUUCUGCUGUGUACUAGGUCAAUCCAAAGGGUUUGAUACCAUCAAUACCACAAAAAUCCUGGAUCACGUUAACCAAGUAACAGUAUCUCCCACUUAUGCCUCACUGAAACUGGUCAUCUUACCUCAAAGAUCAAAUUCCCGGCAUCAGGUAAUAGGGCUUUCUGUGAGGGAUUCUCAGCUCUGGAACUCAUUUACUCUGAAGGGUCUUGCAGAGAAUAUCUAUUUCUAAGGCACAUGCAUAUAUCUAUAUCUAGUGGUUUUUUUCCCUGAUUGCAGUGUUUAGCAUUAGAUAGGGUUGGUUGCUGUAGCAUAACUUAAGGCUGUUUAUUAUUUAACAGUGACUUUCUAUAUGAACUCUUGAUGGUGCUUUAGCCCAAAGCACCAAGCUCUAUUUUGUCAUAGGCCUCUACUAUAUAUCAUGGAAAAUAUACAUACUGAAGUUGAACAGCUUGGAACACUACAAGAAAGAAUUGAGAGAGAGAAAGUAGCCAACUAAUUUCCCUCAGUAUAGACCACCAGCUGGGGAGUUGCAGUCAGCUGGCUAAGAAUUCUGCCAUUCAGAUGGCAUAGUGAAAUAACGGCAAUAUUAGAUACACGCAUACUGAAAGUUUCUAAAGUUGAACUCUUUGACUAAGCAAGAUUAACGUUACAAAAGUCUACCCAAAAACAAAAUAACUAUGCAACCAUUAGAUGCUUCCCAAGAAUAUUUCAUAUAAAGCAGCAGAUUCAUUUUAAUCUUAAACUUGUGUACAGGGAAAUAAACUUUGAGAAUACAAUCCACUGUAAAAAUAAAUGCCAAACAUGUGGCAGCAUCUCCCAGCCACCAGUUUUAUUGCACACUUUAUUUUUUGCAGCCUAAUGUGUGGAAGUUUCAUAAAGCUCAUGGAGAAUGAGCAACACAGGACAAGGAAGAAGGCUGCCCUCAAACUCACAUAUCCCAGAAAAAAAAAUCAGAACUUAAAUUUCAAGUGUAAUCAAAACAAGAAGUUUAUAGGACAGAAAAGAAGGUAUAAAUCUUAUGUAUUAGGCACAUUGUUAAACAGCAUAAAAGGAAACCAGGAGAAAAAUAUAGGGCUUUGAACAAGCCAUUUUAAACACAAUACAAACAUUAAGGCAUUAAGCAGGUUUGGUAUCCAACCAGCUAUGUCAAGAGCAUCUUUGGAUCAAUGUAGCUUUUACAUCUAGAGGAAGUAUCUUCUUUACCU